GCCCCCAUCGUCUAGUGGCUAGGAUCUGAGACUUUCAAUCUCAAGGGGAGGGUUCAAUUCCCUCUGGGGGUAC
rnacentral:tRNA from 1 species